GGAGGGGUAGCUCAGCGGUGGAGCGACACGUUGAAGCCGUGUGCGUCGGCGGUUCGAUUCCGCGCCCUUCCA
rnacentral:tRNA from 1 species